GGAACGCUGGCGGCGUGCCUAACACAUGCAAGUCGAACGGAGAUUCAGAUGAAGCUUGCGAUUCUGAAUCUUAGUGGCGAACGGGUGAGUAACGCGUGAGCAACCUGCCCUUGAGAGGGGGAUAACAUCGGGAAACCGAUGCUAAUACCGCAUAAAAUAUGCAGAUGGCAUCAUUGGCAUAUCAAAGGAGAAAUCCGCUCAAGGAUGGGCUCGCGUCUGAUUAGAUAGUUGGUGAGGUAACGGCCCACCAAGUCGACGAUCAGUAGCCGGACUGAGAGGUUGACCGGCCACAUUGGGACUGAGACACGGCCCAGACUCCUACGGGGGGCAGCAGUGGGGGAUCUUGCACAAUGGGCGAAAGCCUGAUGCAGCGACGCCGCGUGAGCGAAGAAGGCCUUCGGGUUGUAAAGCUCUGUCUGGAGGGACGAACAAAAUGACGGUACCUCCGGAGGAAGCCACGGCUAACUACGUG
rnacentral:rRNA from 1 species